AUGGCGAGCGGGGAGAAGGUGGACUAUGUGUUUAAAGUGGUGCUGAUCGGGGACUCGGCCGUCGGCAAGUCGCAGAUCCUGGCGCGGUUCGCGCGCAACGAGUUCAGCCUCGACUCCAAGGCCACCAUCGGUGUCGAGUUCCAGACGCGCACGCUCGUCAUCGACCACAAGUCCGUCAAGGCCCAGAUCUGGGACACCGCCGGCCAGGAGAGGUACAGAGCUGUCACGAGCGCAUAUUACAGAGGCGCUUUGGGAGCUCUGCUAGUCUAUGACAUCACCAAGCGCCAGAGCUUUGACCACAUACCUCGCUGGCUGGAGGAACUCCGGGGUCAUGCAGACAAAAACAUUGUCAUCAUGCUGGUUGGCAAUAAGAGCGACCUUGAAGAUGAGCGGGCUGUUAGCACUGAGGAUGCCAAAGAGUUUGCUGAGAAGGAGAACCUCUUCUUCCUGGAGACGUCCGCGCUGCAGGCCACCAAUGUCGAAAGCGCCUUCCAGACUGUCUUGUCAGAGAUCUUCAAGAUCCACAGCAAGAAGAACAUUGUAACCGACCCAAAGGCCAAUGGUGCUGCGCCGCCGCUGGCCGGCAAGAAGGUUCUUGUCCCAGGCCCAGCACAGGAGAUCCCAAAGAGCAAGUGCUGCAGUUCUAUGUAA
rnacentral:rRNA from 1 species